rnacentral:rRNA from 1 species
UACGUAGGGUGCGAGCGUUAAUCGGAAUUACUGGGCGUAAAGCGUGCGCAGGCGGUUCGUUGUGUCGGCGGUGAAAGCCCCGGGCUUAACCUGGGAAUGGCCGUUGAAACUGGCGAACUGGAGUGUGGCAGAGGGGGGUGGAAUUCCGCGUGUAGCAGUGAAAUGCGUAGAGACGCGGAGGAACACCGAUGGCGAAGGCAGCCCCCUGGGCUAACACUGACGCUCAGGCACGAAAGCGUGGGGAGCAAACAGG